GGCAUGAUCCACAGCUGGAUGAAUCCAGAUAUCCAGUAAUCUCUAUCUCCUCAUCUUGCAGGUAUACAGUAUGUAACAUGACGGGCUCUAACAUGCUCAGAGCACAACAGAAACUACCCCUUCCCUGAAUACAUCGACAUCAGCUCACUGGCUGUCCAAGAUGACUAUAUUUUUAUUCAGGACCUCCAUAUCUUCAGCACAGACGAGCACCAGGUAUUCGCGGGGCGGUGCAGGAGUGAAACCAGAAUGAUACCUACAACCUGUACCUCUCCAACAUCCGGGGCAUCCUCUUCACCCUGGCCAUGGAGAACGUCAAGACCACCCGCGGCAACCAGAUGCUGGACCUGUAUGAGGAUGAAUCCCCAGUUUAUCACCCAGACACUGGCAGGUGUGAUGGGAGGAAGAGGAGUGAGAUAUGGGUCUGAUCUUCAGAGUCAGAAGUCAUUAAUAAUGAUACUACUCAAAUCAAAUUGAAUCAAAUUUUACUUGUCACAUGAGCUGAAUACAACAGGUGUAGAUCUUAAC
ensembl:lncRNA